UAUCAAGCUGUUUAUUUUUUUCCUGCAUGGAAUGGUGAACACAAAGAAAGAGGCCUAGAUGCACUUAUAAUAGGGGCAUCCUUUGGCUGUCUAUGUUAUUGUCUUCUGCCUAAACUCAUUUUUAAAUGCAAAAAACACUCUUUUUCCUUAGCAACAUCCUCAGAGUUACCUGCUGCGGAUUUAGCUUUAUCAACACUGAUGCAACAAAUAACCUUCAAAACAUACAGCAUACUUGUCACAUCCAUUUACAAUAGGGUUUUCACCUCAUGUCCCUAUACUUUUCAAGUACAGGGAUAUUCCAUACCACUGAAAAAAGAGAAAAUUCUUUAAAUACAUACAAAAAAGGAAAGCAAAACAAAAAAAGAAGAACAGGAAAGUUUUCAACUUAAAUCCAGUUCCCCAAGAACAAACAAAGAAAACAAAAAAAACAAUUCUAUUAAUGUGGCCUUAAUACAAACAAUCAGAAAAUUCACAACACUAUUUUUUUCCUCAUUUAAUCAAUGUUACAAAAAUCUUGCAUUAUAAAAUAGGGCAGCUUUUAAAAUCAGUGUAAUUAAUAAAACUAUACAACACACAAACAACACAUCUCCCACGGUCAGGUCAGGUGCCUUGCCCUGUUGGCCUCCCUGUUCUUCUCGACUCAGGUACACACUUCUUUGUUUGUCUGUCGUCUCUUUCCAUGCUCUCCGCUAUUCCUAUUUCCCAAACUAAAAUAACACACACAAACACAAGAACAAAAAUGGACUGCCCAAACUAUUGCUUUUAUAUUCCUUUUCUUUUGUCUUUCUUUAAAAAGGGUGCAAUUUUGUCAUAUCUUACACACACACACAGCCAAAUCUUACUGAUUAGAUGAUAGGCUGCUUUUGCGACACAAAAAUGUCCGUGCAAUUAUUUUUCCCUUCGCACUUUUAGGCCAUUAAGGCCGUUUAUUUUUCACAAUUGUCAUUUAGUUUUUAUUUAGUGCAGAUAAUUAAGAAAGUAAUGCCCAACUCAUGUCUAAAGGGUAGGCAAGAAUAACAAAACAAAACUGUCACACUAGAAAAAAAGCACAACCCACGCAUGUGUAACUGUUAAACCAUCACAUCAGACAUCUGGGGAAAACUUCCCCAUAUUCAAAAUGAUUUUUUUGUAAAUGAUAUACGUUGUAGACAGGAAACAGGUAAACAAUUAAUAUAGCCUGGAAGUUUGUUAAAAAUGUACAUAAAUGUGGGCGAUCACUUCCUCCUGGACGUUAUUAGUUUGCUUUGAAAGUGUGUUAUUUUUGUGAUGAAGAGGAAGUCUCCUUGUUUAAGGCUCACAUGUGACUAAAAGGUAAUUGAAAAAAAAAAUCAUUGAUGGUCAGCUUUACCAUUAGGUAUAAAGGAAAGUGGAUAUCCAUAAAGGCUGAAUGGACACGGCCACGUCAGGCUCUGCCAUGAUGGGACUGAGGGUGGGAUGGUGUAUCAGACAAGCUGACAGCUGCCUCGGCAGCCAGUCAAGUGCA
ensembl:lncRNA